GCUCUGUCUCUCUCUGUCCCAAAAAUAAAUAAACGUUGUAAAAUAAAUGCUUGAUUGUGCAUCGUUAGACAGGUUUCUUAACCACGGGACUUCUCAGAGACAUUAAUAGGCAUGUGUGCGUUGUUAACUCUGUAAGAGAAGAAUAAGGUAAGAAGCAUUUCCUAAAUUUAUUUGGCCAGAGAACCUUAACCCUGGCACAAAUCAUAACUUAGCACAACACGCCGUUCAUAGGAAGAAUGCUAGAUGGGAUUUUUGAGAUCACUCACUUCAUAGCAUCAGAGAUGAAAAAUCUGAAAGCCAGAGGCAUUUAGGGACUUUCUCAAGGCUGCAGAGAAUGUACAAGCAGGUCAAUUCUGCCUGGGAAUGUUCAGUUCUGCUGUUUGGGGGGCUUCAACGGGCCACAGUGCCUGGCUCCAACUGCAGGGAAGGUGCGGUCCCCAGCCAUGCUACCACACUCUGGUGACAGAGAUGCCCAUGUUCUCUUGGCACACAGGACAUCUGACAACAGACCACGUUAAAAGACCUGGCCAAGGAGAUGAGGCCUACCAUAAUACAAUUUACGACGAGAGCUGAGAGAGAAAAAUAGGUUAUCGGGAGCAAAACAUUCACGGGGCCCUGACCUCACCUUUCAAACUCAGCGGAAGAGAAAGAAACAUACAGCAAAUUGAAUUCCAUACGAAAGCUGAUUCCGUUGGGAAAGACGCAAACUACAUUUCUUCAAAGGUCGUAUUCAAUAAGGAAGAAGGCCCUUCCAGACCCUAACUAGAAAGGCAGAGGG